rnacentral:antisense_RNA from 1 species
CUGUAUGGUGGGCCGUGUGGGGACGCCUGUGAGGGCGUGCCGGUUCCAAGUGCCGGUCUUCCGACCUCACACGGUCUGCCACCCAU